GUGCCCGUGGCACAAUUGGACAGCGCGACGGCCUCCGGAGCCGUAGGUUGCAGGUUCGAAUCCUGCCGGGCACG
rnacentral:tRNA from 4 species